rnacentral:rRNA from 1 species
UACGGAGGGUGCAAGCGUUAAUCGGAAUUACUGGGCGUAAAGCGCGCGUAGGCGGUUUUUUAAGUCGGAUGUGAAAGCCCCGGGCUCAACCUGGGAACUGCAUCCGAUACUGGAAGACUAGAAUGCGGGAGAGGGAGGUAGAAUUCCAUGUGUAGCAGUGAAAUGCGUAGAUAUAUGGAGGAAUACAGUGGCGAAGGCGGCCUCCUGGCUCGACAUUGACGCUGAGGUGCGAAAGCGUGGGGAGCAAACGGG